rnacentral:rRNA from 1 species
GGGGGGGGGGGGGGGGGGGGCGGGGGCAGGGGGGGCGGGGGGGGGGAGGGGGCUUGCUCCUGGGUUCCGCGGCGGACGGGUGAGUAAUGCCUGGGAAUCGGCCUGGGCGUGGGGGAUCACGUCCGGCCACGGGCGCUAAUCCCGCCUACGUCCUGCGGGAGCAAGUGGGGGAUCUUCGUACCUCACGCUAUCCGAUUAGCCUAGGUAGGAUUAGCUAGUUGGUUGGGUAAUGGCCUACCAAGGCGACGAUCCGUAACUGGUCUGAGAGGAUGAUCAGUCACACUGGAACUGAGACACGGUCCAGACUCCUACGGGAGGCAGCAGUGGGGAAUAUUGGACAAUGGGCGAAAGCCUGAUCCAGCCAUGCCGCGUGUGUGAAGAAGGUCUUCGGAUUGUAAAGCACUUUAAGUUGGGAGGAAGGGCAGUAAGUUAAUACCUUGCUGUUUUGACGGUACCAACAGAAUAAGCACCGGCUAACUUCGUG